UCUUAUGUAUUAGUUACCCGUAAUACAUUUCCCCAUCAAAUCCUAAAGUUAUCUCGCUAUAUACGCUUUUUGAGAAAGAAAUUAGACGACACACAUGAACAAGGACAUUUUUCAAACGGAUUCGGAUGCCAAAGUCCGUCACGUUCAGCAUCACCCAACAUCCAAGCAGGGGUGGUUAGCAUAGCAGCCCGCGCUUAACAAACCUUUUUUCACGUAGAUGAGACCCUGACGACGACUCUAUUAUGGCAUCACUUAUUGGCUUGAGAUUGUAUAAAUACUCCGGGUUACACCGAUUUGGGUGAUCAGUACGUCCCAAUACAUUCAGUCUGCAACAUGUCUUCUCUCAAUGCCACCCUUAGCGCUAUCGUCGUCGGUGCCCUGUGGAUUUUGAUUUUGGCGCCAGUCGAUCAGAUCCAUGGAACACCAACGGGGGCUCCUAUUGCUGCCUGCGAAUCCAUGACUCCAGGGCAUGGAUACGACGCCCAAAAUUCGGCAUCCCCCUUCAAAACGGAAAUUCCGACUGGGGAGACCGCCUUCAUGGACGACCCCGUCCAUCUGGAACUUCGCAGUCUCUCAUCCGGAACUUAUUUCAAAGGGUUCCUUAUUAUGGCGUUCGACAAGGACGACACUUCGGCCACUCCUAAACCCAUCGGCACUUUUAAAUUGAUCGAAGGCAGCGAUGGCCAACUCAUGGAUUGUUCCGGCAAAGUAUCGACCGCUGUUACACACACCAACAAUGUCGUGAAGAAUUUGGUGAGGAUCGACUGGCAACCACCCAAGUAUUACAUGGGUACAGCCAUCUUCAGGACCACCUUCGUCCAAGACGUUUCCACCUUUUGGGUCAAGACGGAGUCGAUUUCUGUCACUUUUGUGAUGCCCGACGGGAGCACCCACGAUCCCAUGAAAGCCGCUAACGUUUGAUUUCUCUUGCUGAAAUAAUCGUCCAUCGAACACUAAUAAUUGAAUUGCAAUAUCACGCAUACACACCAGCAAUAGUUUGGCAAAACAAAAAAAGCAAUUCAUUCUUUUUUAAUAAUGAUGCAUAAUAAUAAACUAAAUUACGGUUA
rnacentral:misc_RNA from 1 species